GAUCAUGGCUCAGGACGAACGCUGGCGGCGCGCCUAACACAUGCAAGUCGAACGAGCGAGAGAGAGCUUGCUUUCUUGAGCGAGUGGCGAACGGGUGAGUAACGCGUGAGGAACCUGCCUCAAAGAGGGGGACAACAGUUGGAAACGACUGCUAAUACUGCAUAAGCCCACAGGUCGGCAUCGACCAGAGGGAAAAGGAGCAAUCCGCUUUAGAGAUGGCCACGCGUCCGAUUAG
rnacentral:rRNA from 1 species